UGGGGAAUAUUGGACAAUGGGCGAAAGCCUGAUCCAGCCAUGCCGCGUGUGUGAAGAAGGUCUUCGGAUUGUAAAGCACUUUAAGUUGGGAGGAAGGGCAGUAAGCGAAUACCUUGCUGUUUUGACGUUACCGACAGAAUAAGCACCGGCUAACUCUGUGCCAGCAGCCUCGGUAAUACAGAGGGUGCAAGCGUUAAUCGGAAUUACUGGGCGUAAAGCGCGCGUAGGUGGUUCGUUAAGUUGAAUGUGAAAGCCCCGGGCUCAACCUGGGAACUGCAUCCAAAACUGGCGAGCUAGAGUAGGGCAGAGGGUGGUGGAAUUUCCUGUGUAGCGGUGAAAUGCGUAGAUAUAGGAAGGAACACCAGUGGCGAAGGCGACCACCUGGGCUCAUACUGACGCUGAGGUGCGAAAGCGUGGGGAGCAAACAGG
rnacentral:rRNA from 1 species